rnacentral:rRNA from 1 species
GAUGAACGCUAGCGGCAGGCCUAAUACAUGCAAGUCGAACGGUAAAUGACCCUUCGGGGUCAUGAGAGUGGCGCACGGGUGCGUAACGCGUAUGCAACCUACCCAAUGCUGGCGGAUAGCCCGGAGAAAUUCGGAUUAACCCGUCAUGAGGAGCCGGAGGGGCAUCCUUCCGGUUUCAAAUAUUCAUAGGCGUUGGAUGGGCAUGCGUGCUAUUAGAUAGUUGGCGGGGUAACGGCCCACCAAGGCAACGAUCGUUAGGGGUUCUGAGAGGAAGGUCCCCCACACUGGAACUGAGACACGGUCCAGACUCCUACGGGAGGCAGCAGUGAGGAAUAUUGGUCAAUGGGCGAGAGCCUGAACCAGCCAAGUAGCGUGAAGGAUGACUGCCCUACGGGUUGUAAACUUCUUUUGUUUGGGAAUAAAAGACGCUACGUGUAGCGUUGUGCAUGUACCUUACGAAUAAGCAUCGGCUAAUUCCGUG